GGCUGAGGGGCCCUGGGGCUGGGCAGGUGGGCAACGGGGUGGUGGUGACAGGAACUGGUGUGGCACCCCCAUCUCAGUGGCGCCUAAGGCACGUGCCGUGCCUGCCCCCCCAGUUCCGCCUAUGUGCCUGACAGCAUAUAUUUCAUUUUAAAAUGAAAUUGAGUUUCAUGUGGCUAAUUUUAUUCAGUUACAAUGACUCUUGCUGUACAGACUACUGAAGAUUUCAACACCAUUACUAAAUUUAACUAAAGGUCAAGAUUUACAGAAAGACCUUAAAUAUGGUGACCUGCCAGGAUGGAUUUUAAGGGGUCUUCCCCGCCCCACCGACAGUUCAAAAAAGUUUGAAAGAAGGAUUGAGGCAUUGUUGCUUGUGAUUUAUACACUAAUUCGACUGCUCUGCUAAACAGUGCUUCGAAUGAGGGGCCCAUACCACUUCUCAGGAACUCCUAGGAACCUAACCCAAUUUUUCAGCUUCUUAUCGUUGGAUGCUGCAAGUUCAAAAGACUGGAUGGGACUGAUGUCUGGUGUUGACAAAGGAGUUACAUCAGUUACUGUAUCUUCAGAUUCUUCUGCAUAGUCACCCAGUUUUGGUUUUGCCUCUGCUGACUUUAUUCCUGGAGUAGAUUUUUGUCUUGGCGAAAGAAGAGCUGAACUACACAUGCUUUUCUUUUUGGAAGAAGAAGAAGAUGAAUCUGACAAGCAACCAUCAGAAUCUGUGUCUGAACAAUCUGUAUCAGAACUACAGGAUGGGGAAAACGAAGAGGAAGAGGAACUGGCUGCAAUAUUCUUGUUAAUUUUUGCACUGUUAGACUGCUUAGAAAUCUUAAGUUUAACCCUCUGGUUUCUGCUGUCAUCACUACUAUCUUCUUCAUCUGUAUAGUAAUUUUCUUCAUGUUCUUUAACUAUUUGUGGAACUUGAAUUGCAAUAUUUUUGUCAUACAUUCUUUCACUCUCUGCCAAGAUACUACAAGAUGUACCUGCAGUCUCUGAAUGCAAAGAAGCUAAAAAGGACAAAGCAUUCUCAGGAUGAUCAGUGCAAUUGCCUAGGGUGCACACUUCCUGAGAUUUUGUCUCUUUCUCUCGUCUUUCUUCUUCAGAACAGUCAACCACCACCGCUUUGGUUUCUAUUUUAACAUCAGGAUUUCCUAUACUUGUAUCUUCCACUUGUGUGUGCUCACCAUUUUCCUUUCCAUCUAUUUUUGUGGCUGUUGCUUCUUUCUUCACCUCUUCCUCAAAAUCACUAUCAAAGAAGGAAUGAUCCACUUCACAGUCCGACAGAUCUUCAUACCGGUCCAUGACCAAAAAAUACUGCUUGGAGUGCUGCAAACAGAAUACUGAAAUUCAUUACACCAAAAAAUGAAACAAGUUAUGAAGAAUCCCUCUCUAUAACUAUAUUAAAUUAGGUUGUAUACAUGUGCUUAUGUUUGCGCUCUGGUUCAACAACUAGGGAUUUGUUCAGAACUGGCGAGGGGUGGCUCAAGGAAGCGGGGGAUACCUUUAAGGAUUGGGGAGGGUGCUCUUACACACACACCCUGCCGUGUUUCCCCCGCUGGCGCUGCAGUUUAAAAGAGUCUGGCAGGGCGGCAGCGUGGCUCCCUGCCGCCCCGUUGCCUCCUCAGACCGGAAGCACCCGGCAUGCGCACAUUGUGCUUGCCUCCGAACACGUUCGUGCACAUCCGUAUCAACAACUUUAAAACCUGAAGAAUAGACAUAAAGUAAAUAAUUGACAGAAGGAUUUAUCACAAGAUAAAUGUUUCUCCAGCUACAUGACAGAAAAACAUUUGCUGUUUUUAUCUCCGCGCACAUAAUUUCACUGAGGAAAGUGUUGUAUUGAAUUAUUUGUUUCUGUUCAGCAUUAAUAACAGCUCAGUUGUUGUAACAUUACAACUGUGCUACAAGCAUACAAACUAGCACAAAGAAAGUUUGGUUUACCAAUUGUAACGCUGCAUAUGAAAUAUAUAUUAGAGUGACACAUAUUUCAGUGAUAUACAGGUUUUUCAGUGUUUUCCUGAAAAUAUACUAACAAGUCCAAAAAAUUUUUAACCCAUAAAUAUGCUACCUAUGUUAGUUAAUUGUGCUCAAAAACUCCAGCCUAAGCCAAUUUCUGGUAUAGUUUUCCUGCCUGAUCGUUUGUAGGCAACUUAAUCACCACAGUUAAGUCUGAAGGUAUCUUUCAAGACCAAAGUACUACAUGUCUUUUAAUCUGCUAAAUUAAUUAUAGCAAUUUUGUUAUAUGUCUAUGAGCUCUCAUAAGAACUCAUUUUAGCAACAUAUUGAGGCAUACAUCUCAGAGAGAGUGGGACAUAUUUCUGAUAAAAUACACUAAUAACUGGGCUGUUAAUGUUUGUAACAUGGCAUCCUUCAAUGAGAAUAUAUACCUGACUAUCAGUUCUACCAAGUGAGAUUCAUUUCUCUUUACCAGAAACAAAUAUAGUAAACCUGUUAAUUCCUUAUAA